AUUGAACGCUGGCGGCAUGCCUUACACAUGCAAGUCGAACGGUAACGGGCCUUCGGGUGCCGACGAGUGGCGAACGGGUGAGUAAUGUAUCGGAACGUACCUUUCAGUGGGGGAUAACGUAGCGAAAGUUACGCUAAUACCGCAUAUUCUGUGAGCAGGAAAGCAGGGGAUCGCAAGACCUUGCGCUGAUUGAGCGGCCGAUAUCAGAUUAGCUAGUUGGUGAGGUAAAGGCUCACCAAGGCGACGAUCUGUAGCGGGUCUGAGAGGAUGAUCCGCCACACUGGAACUGAGACACGGUCCAGACUCCUACGGGAGGCAGCAGUGGGGAAUUUUGGACAAUGGGGGCAACCCUGAUCCAGCCAUGCCGCGUGAGUGAAGAAGGCCUUCGGGUUGUAAAGCUCUUUCGGCCGGGAAGAAAUCGCGCCAGUUAAUACCUGGUGUGGAUGACGGUACCGGAAUAAGAAGCACCGGCUAACUACGUGCCAGCCGCCGCAGUAAGAC
rnacentral:rRNA from 1 species